AUUGAACGCUAGCGGCAUGCCUUACACAUGCAAGUCGAACGGCAGCACGGGAGCAAUCCUGGUGGCGAGUGGCGAACGGGUGAGUAAAGCAUCGGAACGUGCCCAGUCGUGGGGGAUAACGUAGCGAAAGCUACGCUAAUACCGCAUACGAUCUGUGGAUGAAAGCGGGGGACCGUAAGGCCUCGCGCGAUUGGAGCGGCCGAUGUCAGAUUAGGUAGUUGGUGAGGUAAGGGCUCACCAAGCCGACGAUCUGUAGCUGGUCUGAGAGGACGACCAGCCACACUGGGACUGAGACACGGCCCAGACUCCUACGGGAGGCAGCAGUGGGGAAUUUUGGACAAUGGGCGCAAGCCUGAUCCAGCAAUGCCGCGUGCAGGAUGAAGGCCUUCGGGUUGUAAACUGCUUUUGUACGGAGCGAAAAGGCUUCCACUAAUACUGGGGGCUCAUGACGGUACCGUAAGAAUAAGCACCGGCUAACUACGUGCCAGCCGCCGCAGUAAGAC
rnacentral:rRNA from 1 species